rnacentral:rRNA from 1 species
GACGAACGCUGGCGGCGUGCUUAACACAUGCAAGUCGAACGAAGUGGCGAACGGGUGAGUAACGCGUAAUCAACCUGCCCUUCAGAGGGGGAAAACAGUUGGAAACGACUGAUAAUACCGCAUACUGAAGGAGGGGAUUGCGUCUGAUUGGCUAGUUGGAGGGGUAACGGCCCACCAAGGCGAUGAUCAGUAGCCGGUCUGAGGGGAUGAACGGCCACAUUGGGACUGAGACACGGCCCAGACUCCUACGGGAGGCAGCAGUGGGGAAUCUUCCGCAAUGGACGAAAGUCUGACGGAGCAACGCCGCGUGAGUGAAGAAGGUUUUCGGAUCGUAAAGCUCUGUUGUUAAAGAAGCGGUAUCUAACGAGGAAGCCACGGCUAACUCCGUGCCAGCAGCCGCGGUAAUAC